CCCUGUCGGCGAGUGCGCAGAGAACUGGAAAUCCCUCUGCAGAUUCCGUAUGAGAUUAUGUACCCGGGGAUAGUUUCUUGGGAAAAGUUCUCGGAUGCUUCGGUUCAGGGUCGGCUUUACGUGGGGCAUCAUCUCUCUCUUCAUUUUCUCGAACCAGUUCCAAUUCCGACUACCUUCCCCCUUUUUAGUCAUCACCCAACCAUCCAUAUUCCGUUGGCUGCAAAAGAAUCCGAGGCUUUUGGGCAGAUCACCUCUUCUCCAAUUUCUGAUAUUUUUAGUGAAGAUUAUGUCUGGUUAGCUCCUGGCCUCUCCUACAGAUCUGUGCUAGCUAGCUGAGCUGAAGGUUUUCUAAGGUUUGCCCGUAUUGAUCUCAGUUGGAAUGGGACGGAUGAAGGGAAUUCUUCUGUUGUUGGUUUGCGCUGCCAGUCUUCGGCCUGCUUUCGCAAGCACUAAUCCAUCAGAUGGUAUUUCCUCCUCUUCUUCUUCCUUUUAUUUUUAUGGAGCUGAAUCAAUUCAGUUGAAUUAAAUGGAUACGUGGUUUCUUUUUUUUGGUUCCAACAUUCAGCAGUGUUGGGCUGAGAGUACAUCUUGUUGUUCCAGUACUUGAGCCUAGAAAUUGAAGGGUGUGAUGAAAGUAUAUGCUUUCAAUACUUGCAUGACAUAGAUGCUUUUACCAUUAAGUUUUAUUCCUUAUUCUUCAUA
rnacentral:lncRNA from 1 species